CCUAGCAAGAACCUUGAUGGCAGAAUCGGAAUGAAGAUGCCCACCUUCCAAGUGGAGGAGAACCUAAUUACUUCUGUGCUGUUUACCUCGUACCGGCUGCAAGUCCACUUCUGUGUGAUAUUUAAGGAAGAAGGGCCCACAAUCAUUCAGAAGACACAUGAGCUCAUUUGGCUACCCCUCGAUAAUAGCAAUACAAGGAUCUGUGAUGCUUAUGAGACUACAGGUGUGGAUAUGGAGAAAUUUGUUAUGUGAAGAUAAGCUGCACAUGCCAUUCACUGUUGGCAAAUGUAAAGUAAUGAGGCAUGGUGUGUGGAAUUCACUGCAAAGUAUCCCAUCCUUAUCCCUCAACUCAGAUGUCUCUCUGUAUAUUCGCCCACAUCAUAGAGAUGGGUGUCAACCAAGUGCUCGAUCCAAACAUCUCAGAACCUUGGAGAGAAGAAAUGGGAAUCAGAACCCAGAUCUGCAUUGUACAUCUGGCUUUUGUCUCAGUAAUGGGCUAAAACAAAACACUGGAUCCAAACACUGCUUUUUGGAGGGGGGGAUGUUUUGUAUUUUACUAGUCAGGCCUAGAUAAUGUACACAUUGAGUCUAUAAUCCCAUAUCGAUAUGAUUUAUUAUUUAUGCUGUCCCAGAGAUGUGCAAAGGGAUUAUAUGUAUAACUUCAUCUUUUCCAGGGAUGCUUACUGUAGCAGGGUCUUGGGACAAAAGCACCUGAUUAGCCCCUGCCCAGUCAGCUCAAUCAGGGGAAACAGAUUGGGGCUAAUGGAAAAGUCCUGAUGCUGGCCUGAGGAUUGGCAACACCUGCUGGCCUGAGAAGCCAAGGGCUAUAAAGGCUGGGAGGGAGCCAGACAGCUGGGGGUAGCCAGGGAGAAGGGGAACUGGAGGCCUCCUGGAUGAAGGCUGAUUCUGCUGGUAAAAGAGGUUGAAUAAUCUUGUAAAUAGAUAGACACUGGUGGUGGGAUAACUGUAAGUAAAUAAAGACAUGGGUGUUGCACAACCCUGAA